rnacentral:tRNA from 1 species
UGCGCCAUAGCUCAAUGGUAGAGCAGUCGAUUGAUAAUCGACCGAUGGUUGUUCAACUCAACCUGGCGCAACCA